AAUAGUCAGGUCACAGGGCUCACGUUGGCCUGGGAGGCCUGAGACUGUAGUGGGUCAGCAGAGCUCUGCUGCUGCCAUGCCAACCCUGGCUUCUCCCCCUCCACUCCACUCCUGUGAGCUCACUGCUGGGGAAGAAAGGCAAUGAGGCCGGAGGUGCCCUGUGGAUGGCAUGCGAAUCUUUCCACUGACUUCUGACUGGUGUGCUGUCUCCUUUCAGCUCCUAGUUCCAGCCUCAGUGAACUGCCUUCGCCUUGGCUCCAUGAAGUGCACUCUGCUGCUUAUCCUCCUCCGGCAGUGGAAGAGGUGAGGCUGUGCCAGGAGAGGCAAGCCCGAGGCCAGAGCCUUCUUGUCAGUGCCUGCUUGCCUUCCUGAAAGGGAGAAAUAGUGGGUGGAAGCUGGGCUGGUUUUCCAUCUUGAGGAAUGGGAGUGACAUAGCAGAUAGGAGGGUGAGGCAGACUGGUGGAUAUCCUGAGAUGGAGCAGGGGCAGUGUGUGGCCUUUUAUGAGGUAUUUUGUCUCACUCCCCACCCCGUAUUCUUUUUUUUUUUUUUUUUUGAGACGGAGUCUCACUCUGUCGCCCAGGCUGGAGUGCAGUGGCGCGAUCUCGGCUCACUGCAACCUCCACCUCCCAGGUUCAAGUGAUUCUCGUGCCUCAACCUCCCUAGUAGCUGGGAUUACGGGUGCGCGCUACCAUGCCUAAUUUUUGUAUUUUUAGUAGAGACAGGGUUUCACCAUGUUGGCCAGGCUGGUCUCGAACUCCUGACCUCAGGUGAUCCACCCGCCUUGGCCUCCCAAAGUGCUAGGAUUACAGGCAUGAGCCACCACGCCUGGCCCACCCAGUAUUCUUUCUAGAGAGUUAGGUUCUGUGGAUGAAAUCCUUGGACCCUUGACGGAGAUCCUGGAGGGAGUGCUGCAGGCCGACCAGCAACUCAUGGAGAAGACCAAGGCCAAGGUGUUCUCAGCAUUCAUCACAGUGUUGCAAAUGAAGGAGAUGAAAGGUGAGGGGCAGAGGCAGGGGGAGCAGCAGCUGCAGUCUGCCCACUCCUGCUGACAGCCAGGCAGGGCUUCCUUCAGCUUAGGGCCACACAUUUCUUCUGGGACUUUUGAGUUUCCAGUCAUGGAAUUCUUACCCCAAGAAAGCUAUUUUUUUCCCUCAUGUGUCUCUCCCUCCUCUCCCACUGGACAGAUGCUGUCCCUCCUAGCGCCCUAGUACAUCUCCAGCCCCUUCCUAGGAAGGAAACCUUGGUGUACAGUGAGAGUUGGCCUGGUGAGCAUGACAGUGUCCCUCCCUGUCUAUUCUACAGUAAGUGACAUCCCCCAGUACUCCCAGCUGGUGCUGAAUGUCUGUGAGACCCUCCAAGAGGAAGUGAUUGCACUCUUCGACCAGACCCGCCACAGUCUGGCAUUAGGCAGUGCCACAGAGGACAAGGACAGCAUGGAGACUGACGACUGUUCUCGGUCCCGGCACAGGGACCAGCGUGAUGGGGUGAGACAGUGCCCUAGAAGGCCAUCCGUCCUUUCCACUGCCCGCCAGCUCUGUGCCUGACUCUGGGGAUAAGUAGUGAUCAAGACAGAUAGUCGCUGCACUUCUGGAGUUCACGGCCUGGUGGGAAAGGUUAAUAGAUCAGACACUGCAGAAAAGCAGAAGCAGCCCAUUGUACUGCAGGAGAGAAGUGCAGGGAGAACUUAGUCUCACUUCUGACUUGAACUGGGACUUAGGUGCCUUUUCAGCAAUGACUUAGAGAUUGUAGCCGCGGGCAAAUGCAGGAUCCGAAGUGAAAUAGGAAAUGAUGUAAGGCUUUUAAGCAGGGGAAAAAGUUGAUCUGAUUUUUACUCUAGAAAGAUCACUCUGGACUUAAACUCCAGGCCUCAAGCCAUCCUCCCAGUUCAGCCUUCCAAAGUGUUGGGAUUACAGGCGUGCCCAAGAAAGAUCACUCUGGAUGCAGUAUUGAAUAGUAUUUUUCAAAUUGUGGGAUCAUGACCUAUUAGAGAGAGUCUUGAAAUUAGCACAUUUUGUUACAACCAGUCUCGCUCUGUCGCCCAGGGUGGAGUGCAGUGGUGCGAUCUUGGCUCACUGCAAGCUCUGCUUCCCAGAUUCACGCCAUUCUCCCACCUCAGCCACCCGAGUAGCUGGGGCUACAGGUGUCUGCCACCACGCCCGGCUAACUUUUUGUAUUUUUCAUAGAGACGGGGUUUCACUGUGUUAGCCAGGAUGGCCUCGAUCUCCUGACCUCGUAAUCCGCCCGCCUUGAUCUCCCAAAGUGCUGGGAUUACAGGCGUGAGCCACCACGCCUGGCCACAACCAGCAUUUUUUUAAAAUAAAGUAGAAUAAAGUGUUUAAGAAAAUAUCACUGUGCUUUGUGUGACAUUAGGGUAGGUAUUAUUAGUGAAAAACUGUAAACGUGUACAUGAGGAUACAGUCUAAAAAGUCUUUAUGGGCCGGGCACGGUGGCUAACGCCUGUAAUCCCAGCACUUUGGGAGGCCGAGGCGGGCAGAUCAUGAGGUCAGGAGAUGGAGACCAUCCUGGCUAACACGGUGAAACCCUGUCUCUAUGAAAAAUACAAAAAAUUAGCCGGGCGUGGUGGCGGGCACCUGUAGUCCCAGCUACUCGGGAGGCUGAGGCAGGAGGAUGGCGUGAACCCAGGAGCGGAGGUUGCAGUGAGCCGAGAUCGCGCCGCUGCACUCCAGCCUGGGGGACAGAGCGAGGCUCCAUCUCAAAAAAAAUGUCUUUAUGACUCUGGGUCAUGGCCAAAAAGAAGGUUGAAAGGCCACUGGUACAAGGAUAGAUUAGAGAGGAUGGAGCAGGAUUAUUUAGGAGAUGGUUGCAGUAGCAGAGCAGGAGGUGGCAUCGGGCAGGGUCGUAGGGGUCCCUCAGACUCCAUGUGGCAGAGUUGGUUGGAGUGUCCAACAUGAGACGAGGUGGCUCUGACAAGGGUGGUGGCAGUGUGGGAGGUGGGAGGGAAGAGGCGGGGGUAGCUCUGGUCAGUUUAGGGUUGCUCAUUAGAUUGGCUGGAGUUGCUGCUGUUCAUUGAGAGCUGGACAUAGGAGAGGGGCAGGGUGGGAGAGAGUGUGCAUUCUGUGUUACUCAAGCUCACUUAGCAAUGUGUGUAACCAAGCAGGUCUUGGGCAACCAGGCCCACCGCUGCCUGUCGUCCUCUUCCUCCUCCUCUUCUUCUUCCCCCUUUUACUCAUCUUUGCCUCUGGGCAGGUGUGUGUCCUGGGCCUGCACCUGGCCAAGGAGCUGUGUGAGGUAGACGAGGAUGGUGACUCCUGGCUGCAGGUAACCCGCAGGCUCCCCAUCCUACCCACCCUCCUCACCACUCUAGAGGUGAGCCUUCGCAUGAAGCAGAACCUGCAUUUCACUGAGGCCACAUUGCAUCUGCUCCUCACCCUGGCUCGCACUCAGCAGGUAGGAGGCCAGCCCGAAGGCAGGAGGGAGCGUCCUUGCUUGCCUGGGUGGGUUCUGACAAUCCCAGAAGCUGUGAUCUAGCCUGAGAGCCCUACCUACCCUAGGCAGGGCAGGGGCAGGCUCCAUCUCAUUUCCUGUCUUUCCCUCCUCCCAGGGAGCCACAGCAGUGGCUGGAGCUGGCAUCACCCAGAGCAUUUGUUUGCCCCUUCUGAGUGUGUACCAGCUGAGCACCAACGGCACAGCACAGGUGAGUGUCAGGAGCUUGCCAGGAGGCCCAGCCUGACCACCCUACAGUUCCAGUUGAAAAGUGUCCUCCCCUACCUUUCCCCGGAAGUUGCUUUCCUCUAAAUUGCCUAAUACACUGAUGGUGAGGAAUCUUCCCUGCCCCCAGGCGGAUCUCUAGCAAGAGAAACUCACCACUAAAAGGCACCGCCUGGCCUUUGUGCACUACCUCUGGGAGAUGGGAUGGAUUCUUCCCAUUGCAGGUGUGAGGAAGACUAAACCAGAUUGAUAACACAUCCCUGGACCAGGCCUCUAGCCAAGGCAGCUGUCCUCUCCUGUCAUUCCCAAAGACAGUGUGUCAUUGUGACUUCUCCACCCCUGCACCACCAGACCAGGACUGGGAGAAGGGAAGUGGGUGGUCUGGGGGCUUGAUGGGGCCUCAGCACCCUGCCCUCUGUGUCCCUUGGUUAUUUCUAGUUUAACAGAUACCUCCUAAUUUCAAAAGAGUAGUCUUCACCUGAACCUCUCUCUCUCAUGAGAGUCGUGAAGUAUUUGGUCAUCUAGCCCAGCUACCCCUUAGAGGAAGUAUGUAGGGGCCAGAGCAGGGCAGUGACAUGUCCAGGUUCGCAUAGCUCGUCAGUGGCAGACCUGAGUCUGGAACCCUGGGUCUUGUGUCUCAGCCUGGUGCUCUUUCCUUGAAUCUGCUGGUGUUGGCCCCUUUCUGGCCCUGGUGGCCAGACAGUGGCUGUGUCUAUUCUGGGAGAUCUUUUCCUUUCAGCGCAGCUGGGCUGCCUUAGUUGCUGUACUACAAGGAGGUCCUGCCUCUCAGCAGGGUUCCUGAGCUUGUCUGCUGUUUGUAUCUUAGACACCUAGUGCCUCUCGGAAGUCCCUGGAUGCCCCCUCUUGGCCAGGAGUCUACCGCCUGUCCAUGUCCCUGAUGGAGCAGCUGCUCAAAACUCUGCGCUACAACUUCCUGCCUGAGGCCCUGGACUUCGUGGGUGUCCACCAGGAGCGGACCUUACAGGUGAGGGGCUGCCUGCAUUGCAGGGGUGGGAGUUUCAGGGUAAAAAAGGUACUGGGCCAUUCAUGGGGCAGGUGGGUGUGGAGCCUGGGCCUCAGUAGCGGAGGGUUGUCGAUGCCUUCAUUUUUGAGAUGCUCUAAGUACUCUGCUGGCUCACUGGCCAGCUAGUCUGCUGAAGGACGGGAACGGUCUCGGGUCAGAAUCCUGGUUGUACCACUAAGCCAUUUCUUUGCCAACUCAGCAUUUGGGGGCCUGGGACGUUGCCUCUCCACAGGAGGGUAGGUGUGGGUAUGUCAGGUCCCUCAGCCAUCCCCAUCUUUCCCUGAUGUGUGCUUUCCUCCCAGUGCCUCAACGCAGUGAGGACAGUGCAGAGUCUGGCCUGCCUGGAGGAGGCGGACCACACCGUGGGUUUUAUUCUGCAGCUCUCUAACUUCAUGAAGGAGUGGCACUUCCACCUGCCUCAGCUCAUGCGUGAUAUCCAGGUGGGGGCCCAAGAUGGUGUCUUGGAGUCUGGGGUAAUGCUUGGAGACAGGGAGGCUGUGAGGUCUCACUGGGGCACUCCUAGUGAAUUGCAGGAUGUUCCUGAACGGGGGCUUUUCCCUUGGGGAGCACAGGGUUUGCUGUCAUGUGCUUACUCUGGCUAAAUGUUUCCUUCCAUAGUCAAGGGCAGCCAUGUAGGUUAAGAAUUUGGACUUUUAUCAGUUAGAUCUUGGUUCAGAUCCCUUAAGAAUACACUUGGGGCCGGGCAUGGUGGCUCACGCCUGUAAUCCUAGCACUUUGGGAGGCAGUCAGGAGUUCGAGAUCAGCCUGGCCAACAUGGUGAAACCCUGUCUCUACUAAAAAUACAAAAAUUAGCUGGGCGUGGUGGCACGUGACUGUAAUCCCAGCUACUCGGGAGGCUGAGUUGGGAGAAUCGCUUGAACCUGGGAGGCGGAGGUUGCAGUGAGCUAGGAUCGAACCAUUACACUCCAGCCUGGGUGACAGAGCGAGACUCCGUCCCAAAAAGAAAAAAAAAAAAAAAUGGCCGGGUGCAAUAGGCUCACGCCUGUAAUCCCAGCACUUUGGGAAUUCAAGGCGGGAGGAUCAUGAGGUCAGGAGCUCGAGACCAGGCUGGCCAACAUGGUGAAACCCCAUCUCUACUAAAAAUAACAAAAAUUAGCUGGGUGUGGUGGCACACGCCUGUAGUCCCAGCUACUCAGGAUCGGGAGGCUGAGGCAGGAGAAUCGCUUGAACUCAGGAGGUGGAGGUUGCAGUGAGCCGAGGUCACGCCACUGCACUCCAGCCUGGUGACAAAGUGAGACUCCGUCUCAAAAAAAAAAAAAAAAAACUAAACUAAACAAAACCAAAAAAACACACACAACUGGAGCUGGGAACCAGCUGGAGAAGGGAGGGGUGAGGAAGGAACACAGGCUCCAGAGCCAGGCAGGCUUCUCUUAUCUGCUGGUUGUAUGACCUUGGCCAAGUCACUUGUUACUUGUAACCUUUUAUUCUUUUCCUAUAAAAUGGAAUCAGCCAUAAUCCUCAUCUUAUUUUAUUUAUUUAUUUAUUUUGAGACAGAGUUUUGCUCUGUCGCCCAGGCUGGAGUGCAGUGGUGCCAUCUCGGCUCACUGCAAGCUCCGCCUCCCGGGUUCACGCCAUUCUCCUGCCUCAGCCUCCCGAGUAGCUGGGACUACAGGCGCCCGCCACCACGCCCGGCUAAUUUUUUGUAUUUUUAGUAGAGACAGGGUUUCACCGUGUUAGCCAGGAUGGUCUCGAUCUGCUGACCUCGUGAUGCGCCUGCCUCGACCUCAAAAGUGCUGGGAUUACAGGCAUGAGCCACCGCACCCGGCCUCAUCUUCUUUACUUUAGGACCUUACAAUAUACCAGGCACCUAGCUGGGUCUCAGGGAGACAGUCCAGUCCUGAGCCCUGCUGGCCCAAGUUUGUAGCCCUGAGUACUUAGUGGCUAUAGGGGCUUUAAGCUGGAAAGUGGCCAGGGGAGCAUGAGGGAAGGAGGGAGAGAAGGGGAGCAUGAGGGAAGGAGGGAGAGAAGGGGAGCAUGAGGGAAGGAGGGAGAGAAGAGCAGCAGCGAGUGAGGAGCGCAUGGGUGUUACAUGGAGGGCUAUUGGGUUGGUCUGGUUGGGUGACUGGGCUGCUGACAAGAGAAUCCGCUCAUCUCUCCUGUGUCUCUCCCAGGUCAACCUGGGUUACUUGUGCCAGGCAUGUACCUCUCUCCUGCACAGUCGAAAGAUGCUGCAGCAUUACUUACAGGUAAGCGUCCUAUGCCAUGAGGUCCUGGAAUACCUCACGCUAGCUUCCCAAGCUCCACCUUCAUUUCUUGACUCUCCUUAGAACAAAAAUGGGGAUGGCCUCCCCUCAGCUGUUGCCCAGCGAGUCCAGAGGCCACCGUCUGCUGCUUCUGCUGCCCCCUCCUCCUCAAAGCAGCCCGCUGCUGACACAGAGGCAUCAGAGCAGCAGGCCUUGCACACAGUCCAGUAUGGCCUUCUCAAGAUCCUCAGCAAGACGCUGGCAGCCCUGCGCCACUUCACCCCAGAUGUCUGCCAGAUUCUGCUGGAUCAGGUACUGCCCAUCAUCUGUUCAGCACCACCUCCCCUAAAGGCUCUGCUCUGCUGUGUACCGAGAGCUACCUGGGGCCUUAAUUGGGUCCUGGAUGGCUCUUGUCUUUUCUCGCAGUCCCUGGACCUUGCUGAAUACAACUUCCUGUUUGCCCUGAGCUUUACCACUCCCACCUUUGACUCCGAAGUGGCCCCCUCCUUCGGGACCCUUCUGGCCACAGUGAAUGUGGCCCUCAACAUGCUUGGAGAGGUAAGUUGGUUCUGUCAGACACUGUCCUCUCCCCCCGGCUCCUCCCCCUGCCUGCCACUUCCCAGCUGACCUUGGGCAUGUUGGGCAUGGUACCUAGCCUCCCAAGCCUGCUCCUCUCUGUAAACUGAACAUGACAGCACCUCUGAGAAUUACUGUGAGGAUUAAAUGAGGUAACUGAUUAAAUUUGCUUAGUGCAGGACAUGCAAGUAGGAAGCUCUCAGUAAGUGGGAGCUGUUCCUGUUGUCUUAGUUUUUUACCCUUGCUUCUCUUCAGCUGGACAAGAAAAAGGAGCCCCUCACCCAGGCAGUGGGGCUCAGCACACAGGCAGAAGGGACCAGGACGUUAAAGUAAGUGCUCUUUCUGGGAUUUGAUAAGGGGCUGGGGCAGUCAUGGGCCCACUGUUCUCAAGCUUGGCCAGCCUGGCCCUCUGCAGCAGUACCAAAAACCUGUGUCUCCUCCCAGGUCCCUCCUGAUGUUUACCAUGGAAAACUGCUUCUACCUGCUCAUCUCUCAGGCGAUGCGGUACCUUAGGGACCCGGCUGUGCACCCCCGGGACAAACAGCGGAUGAAGCAGGAGCUCAGCUCUGAGUUGGUACGGAUGGAUAGGGAUACGGAGGGCUGGACCAAUAGGGCCAGAGCCCUGUGGGGUCCUGCCUGGCAACCCCCAAGGGUCAGAACAGUAGCCAGAUGUGCUGAGCCUCACCAAGCCACUUUUUUUCUUGUAGAGCACGCUGCUGUCCAGCCUCUCGCGCUACUUCCGCCGGGGAGCCCCCAGCUCCCCUGCCACUGGUGUCCUCCCCUCGCCGCAGGGCAAGUCCACCUCUCUCUCCAAAGCCAGCCCUGAGAGUCAGGAGCCUCUGAUCCAGUUGGUGCAGGCGUUUGUCCGGCAUAUGCAAAGAUAGGGCAGUGCUGUUCUGCCCACCUACCCCUCUCCACCAGCCUACACUGCACCCUGGCUGGCAGGGGUGCUGCUGGCUGCUAGGGCCUAUACAAUGGAGGGCACCUCCUGUCACCCCCCUCCCGGAGUAGCCACGACUCCAGCCACCACCCACUGACGUUAUUUUUAUACUAGAUGAAGAGGUCAACAGCAGGCAUGGGGAGCCGAGUCUUCUGUGCUCAGGUCCUCACGCUGCAGACGCCCCCUAGAGGAACUUUCCUUCCUUUCCAGCAUUCCCCACAGCACUGCCGGCCAGGGGAGAGGCGGCAGCCCAGCAGAGGGCUCUAUGCACGGGUUUCAAACCUGUUUUCCACACUCUGUCUUUGCAGUUUUGGUAAUUCUGUGGUCUAUUUAUACAGAUAUUAAAAUCUUGUUUAUAGACAGCUGUGUGAUGUUUAACUUCAAAGCCCAGGGAUGACAACGUGGCUCUCAGAACCUAGAAAACUCCCCUGGCCAGGCGCCUGGGAGUGGGGCUGCAGCCUCGGGGGAAGGCAGGUACUGAUGGAUGGCUAGUUCACCAGCAUCUCCUCAUUCCUGUCCUUGGGCUGAGGGUUUGGCUGGGUGGGCGCUGUCAGAUAUUCCCUUCCUUGGCCUGCGCUGGUCCUGUCCUUGACCCUGCUUUCAUUGGCCCAGUGGGCUGAGCUCAUCCCUGGGUGAGCCUUUCUUGAAGCUCUGUGCCUUCCUAUUUAUAGCCCCGUGCCCCCGUCAUCCCCCGAUCCCCUCUUCAGAAGCCCCAACAGUGGGGCCUACUGGCUGUUGGCCUUCUCAGGACUGAAGUCAGAAUGCUAGGUCCUGCUAGGGGCCAUCUAAAACACAGACAUCACUUAGGGUUUCUAGAAUCAGGCUGCCUGGGCUUCAGUCCCUGCUUGGCCACUUGCCAACUGUGGUCCCUUGAGGAGCUGACUGUCUUGCUGAUCUCAUCUGUGAAAUGUGGACACUGAGGACGGCAUGAGAACCCAUGGCACGGGGGCACAUGCUGGGUGAAACGCCCGACCUGCAGACAGCACUGACCGCUACCCACUUCUUGUGCUUGAACUGAACUGUCAGACGCAUUCUACAGUCCGCUCCACAAUCCAAAUUUAGGAAACUUUUUCUUAGGAAUAAAACGUUCCUUGUGCGGCUUCAUGUCCAGGAACAGCACUGCCCUCUGAGAGGCACAGGCCCCGCAGAAGACAGGGAGGGCUGCACUUCUUCCCAACUAGAGAGCUGGGGGCCGGGGCAGCCACAGGGCCCCUGCUCACUCUGUGGAAGAGUGGGGCAGAGGGUGAGUCUACCUUUCCCUUUACCACCCUCAGGGCCAGGCCCUGACAGGAGCCCAGGUGACUCGCACACAAGGACGGUUUAUUGGCUAGAGAGCAAACGCAGGCAGAAGUAAAAACACCAGAUAAAAAGUGAGUGUGGAGAGGUGAAGACUGCGGCCGCUGGACUUGGCUUGAGCUGUGAGGGGUGGGAGGGGAGGAUAGCACCGGAAGAUGCUGCUCCGGGCCCAACACCAGCCCUGGCCAGGCUCUCCCCUCCCAGGGGCAGCGCCCAGUCCCCAGGGGCUGCCAGAGCCCUGUGUGCCUUGCCGCAUUCCCCUGAUGCAGCUUUUGGCAACUGAAAGGCAGGGCUCUCGCUGAGUGCACCUGGGGCUUCCUGAGCCCAUCUGCGGCGGCCCCACCCUGGCCUAGGUGCUGAGUGCAGCUGCUGCAGACAGCCCCUCCCUCCUUAGUGGAGCCUGGAGGGUGGGGUGCUCGGGGAUGCAGGCAGGGGCAGGGGCUCCAGAGCCACAGGUCAGAAGCAGGGCUGGGGGAGGGGUGGAGCCAUUCAGCCUCAGGCACCCUCACAGCUAGGUGACUAGGGGCAGGGACAGAAUGGGGUGAAUUCUCCCCACUCUGAACAACUGUGUCACCAACAAACAAGUUAAGUGGCAGGGCUGCGCCCAUCCUCUCCUGCCUAGGCCAGAAUGCGGGGGGGAUGGGGGCACCUGCCUAGCUGAGCAGUUCCAAGUAGGUGACAGGGACCUUGCCCUUCUUGUUGCCUCUCUCGCCAAUGAGCCAGUCAGGGUCCAUGCCAGGCAGGCUGUAGACAGUGAUGAGCUGCAGAGAUGGCAGUAGAGGACGGUCAUGGCCUGGCCAAGGGUGGAACUGGCCCCAGGACUAAGUGGGGACAGAGCUGCCACCUCCCCAUGGCCCGUGGCAUGUGCUACACCUUCAGUGGCUGGCGCUCAUCUCACUUGCUCCAGAGACCCAGCAGAGCAAGGAUCCUUUCCUCAGAGCUGGAUAUGCCCUCUUUAACCUGCUGGUCCCCACUUUGCCAACAGGGCCCCUCCAGGCCCCAUGUGCCUGAUCCCAGUGCCCAGGCUGCUCCUCACCCAGCCCAUUCCUGCCCCACCUUGCGGCACCGGGCCCACCUCAUCAGCCAGCAGGGCCAGCUCACUGCUGUCGGCUGCCUCGUAGUCAUAGAGCACCCGAGCUUUGCGGGUCCCACUGGCAGGGGGGGCCACCUCUUCCAGGCAGAGCGAGGCCUCCCCCGGAGGGGCCAGGCUGGCCACAGAGGGCACCACAGGCAUAGUGGCCGCAGCAGUGGUGGGUGAGGUGCUGCUCAGGGGUGGGGAGGCGGGCUCUGUGGUGCCCACGAAGGUGCCGGGAAAUCUGGAGAGGAGGGAUACAUCUUAGCAGGUGGGAGUCCCAGAAGGGACCCCAGAGGCAAACUCCCCUCCCCAGCCCCAGGAGCCCCACUCCAGCCCCGGCUACUCACAUGGCACCCUGGGAGCUGGCAGCACAAAGGGAAAAGCAAAGCAAGGGAAGGGUGAGAUGGCCCCACCCCCUGGUCCCUGCCAUCCUCCCCACCCAGGCAUUCCCUAGAAACCCUCAGGGGCUCCAGGGGACUUGGCCGUCAGUAAGGCCAGCCACUCCACCCUCAUACACAUGAGAUGCCCGCACCCAGAGUGGGUUCCAGCAGAGCCCUCCAACCCAGCUUUGUGUCACAGGACUUGCCCAGAGGAGCUCAUGCUGCCCACGGACAGGGUAUGGGAGCCAGGGGGCCCCAGUGGGUUCAGCAGUGCUGGCCCCGCACCUGCCCAGCUGCUUCUGCAAGUCCAGCAUGUGGCGGUAGCACUGUGCGUAGUAGGUUGUCUGAGACUUGACGAACUCGUGGAGGCAGCGCAGGUGGUUCACCUGCGGGGAAGAGGCCAGAGGCUGACUUCUAACCUCCCGCCCUCAGAACAAAAAAUUCCGUCCCCAUCCCCGUCCUCUACCAGACCUUGCUCCGGCAUUCCAGGGUGCCCUGCCCCUGCGCCCACACCCUCCCCGGUGGGACUUGCUCUGUGAGGGCCAUUCUGGGGCAGCCCUGCUGACCUUGUGGUUCAGGCACACCUGGUGCCUGCUGAGGGUUAGGUUUAGUGAGGGUGGGCAGUGGGACUCACGUGAGUGCUACUGAUUCCCUCCAGCAAGAGACGGGUCACUUCUGCUUGCCGGUCAAACUCUGUCUGGGCCACGCGGAGCUCCUGCUCGGCCUGGGCAGGGCAGGGCAGCCAUGAGCACCCACACACCACCCACCAGCUUCCCCGCAGUCUUCUCCUGGAGCCUACCUGGGAGCCGCCUGUCCCUUUCCCCUGGGAACACAGAGAGCCUUCUGGGUCUAUGCCUGACUUCACACCUGGAGCCCCAACCCCAGAGAAGCUAGAGCCCCACUCAGGACCCCACAGGCAGCUGCAGUGACAGACCCUUCCUCCAUCACCCAUCGGAGAAAUCCACCCAGCAAGUGCAUCCUGAGGGCCUACUGUGUGCUACAGGGUACUGUGGAGAAAACAUUUCCCCACAGAGGGGAAACUGAGGCCCAGGGAGGGAAAGCAGUAACCCCUCCCCAGUGGGUGUGGGGCAGAGUGAGAAACAGAUCAGACCCCACAGCAGCAAGUGUGCCUGCACCCCGCCACCCCUUCUUCCUCGAGCCCAGCCCCCCAGGCCCCAACUUACCUUGUCCACUUCAUCAUUCCAGAGCUGUGGAGACGGCAGCAGGAGUGGCCAGCAGGGGAGGGGAGAGGAGGACAGCUGGACCCUAGAGCCUGUGCCCUGCCCCAGCUCCCAGACUCAACUUCUGCCCCCCUGCCCCUCUGCCCCCCCUCCCAAACAGGAGCUGAGACUGGGCCGAGGCCCGGCAUGGGAGCUGGGGGCUGGCGGUCCCAGUCCCUCUAACAUGCCUCAUGCAGGAGGGGAGCAGCCAGCAGGAGUCCUGCUUAUAUUUCUCCUACAGUGUCAGCCCCAUUCUCUGAGUGGGGUCUCAAGAGAGACGGAGUGUCCCCACCCCAUCCUGACUGCUGGCUCAGGCUGCUGGGCUGGGCGGCAGAACUGUGUGACCCUGGGCCAGUCACUGAAGCUUUCUGUCCUCUGGCAGAGAAAGGUGGCCUCGUGCUUGAGUCACACUGGGACUCAAUGGCAAAAGAAAAACAGGGCAGUCUCCACCCUCUAGGAUGUUUCUCCUUCCACUGGGCACAGGGAGGAGGCGGGAAGUGGCAUCCAGACCCUGAAGAAGAAAGACGCUGCCCGGCCACGACCAGGAGACCCAGCGCUCCUGCCGCUUCCGGAGAUCUGACCCGAGACAACAGCCUGAAAUAGGGAAUGCGGACCCAGGCCAGUGUGCGUGGCCGGCCCGUGUGGCCCCCAUGCUGCUUAGGAAGUCCCCGUCCAGGAGCACUGGAAGUUGCUGUGAGAGCCAACUAGGGUUGGCGGCCUGAGGGACAGUCACCCAGCCACAGAACGACGGCACGGAAGACAUGAGGCAGCAUGCUCACGAGAGAGGUGAGGGUCUCACCUCCAGGGGCGGGAAGGAGAGAAAGUGGGCAGACAAGGUGUAGCAGUGGUGACAAGCAUGAGGGAGAGGUGUGGCCUAGUCCCCAAACUACAUAGGAAACACCAGACUUCCCAAGAAAGCCUAAAAACCAACAGACACCAUGACAUGCGAAGCCUCCACGAUCCUGUCCUCCCCACCUCCUGCCCCAACUCCCCUGGGGGCCCUGCCUAAGCCUCAGGACAAGACAUGCCCUGCUCCAGGACCUCUGGGCCUUAAGCACAGCCUCAGGCCCUCCCGCCCCCCAGGCGCUCUCCAGGCCUACGACGCCAUCCCUGCCUCCUGUCUUUAGGGGUCUGUGAACUCCAGAAAGGCACGGCCAGGCCUCCUCCUCUAUCCUCAGGGCCUCCCCAGGGCCUGGCAUUCAGAGACAGCAGGAGGUGGAGGGGCCCUGGGGAUGGGACAGCUGCCGCCCUGAGUUCUCCACACUACUCAGUGUGGCUGGCCCUGCCGCCAGCUCCAGCGUUUUGCAGAGGGAAACAAGUCCAGCUCCAUGGCCACAGGGCACCGGGGCCAGGCCGUGGACAGAGGUGGGGGCUGCUGCCCCUCCCCAGUGUCUCAGGACUGACCUGAUCACAUGGCAGUGCCCCCGCCUUACCCAAGCUGGCUUCUAGCUCCUGUGCAGUCAGAGGCAGUGGUGUGGGACGUGGGGAGAGAGGAGGACGAGGGGUGGGGUGGGGGUGGGGUGCGCUUACCGCGGAGGCGCUGGCCGAGAGAAUGUAAUUACGAGGUCUAGUCUCCUGAAAGUCAGGCACCGUCUGGCGGGGAACAGAGUUCAUGUGGGGAGGGGGUCACCCUGGGCCAGGGCCAGGGUCGAGGUCAGGAGGCUACCCCAGAGUCUUGCACAAGGAGAUGCCAAGAGGCCUGACCCCAGGGACGGGGAUACAAACACAACACAAACCCCCUUCUCCCGACUCCAACCACCUGGAGAUGAGGGGCCUAGGGACUUGGAGAGUCCAGACAAAGAUCAAGUGGCUGCAGGCACUGGAGCUCAGGAGAGCAAAUGCGGUGAGGAGAUGGCCGAGGCUGCCUGAGCAAGUCACAGGCUGGGCUCUCCCCUGCCAGGGGCCACAGCCCCCUCCUCCCCAGACCAGUGGCACUCAGAUGCCCCAGGGUCCCGCAAACACAGCCCACCCCCAACUGGGAUGGCUUUUUCCAUCCCAGAAUCCGCACACCACAUCUCUUGCUCCUGCAUCAAGGGCCAGGCCCCUCCCGACAAUGAAGGUGGACAGAUGGAUGCAUGGGCAGACAGAGUGACAGGCGUCCAACAUUUGCAAAAAGCUGACUCACAGGCCCCAACGCCUGGCAUCCCCCCCUAAACCAGAGGCCCUGCACAGUAGAGGCUCUGGCGGGGAGACCAGCUGCUUGCAAAAUGCCCCAAGGACGUGGGCUGGCCAUGGCACCGUGGGUCCACGGGCAAGAUGGGCAGACCGGAAGCAGCACAGCGCGUGGGACAGGUAUACUCACAUCUCCCUCACACUGAGCCAAGUUACCCAAAGCAGGACGGAAAGGAACAAAAACAAAGAGUUAGUGAGUCCACAGCGCAGGCAGGAGCAGGCCCCCCAGGCCCCAGUGGGAGGGGACACCAGGCGGUCGGGCGGAGGGAGGCACCACAGCCUGCCCUCCUGAAGAGUCCUAACGUGUGCGUGCUUAUGGGGACAGAGCUGUGGAGCUUGAGUCCUCUGGAAUGCUGUUCCUGGGGCUGCCCAAGUCCUAGCUCUGGAAAGGUGGCCUGGCCCAACCCCAGGAUGUGAGGUUGUCCAGGCCCACCAGGUGAGGGAGAGGCCACACCACUGCAAUGACAGGAAAGGCUCCUCUGGCCUGGCUGAUGGAGAGAGUGUGUUCUGGCUGAGUUACUCCAGAGACGGUGUCUGGCCCGAAGUGACGGGGGAGACUGUCCUGUUCAGGUGCCUUAGAAGAGGUCAUCCCAAUAGGCACAGGUCACCCUAGCCAACCCCAAGAUUGAAACAACUACACCCCUGCCUCUGAUCUAGACCCCACACACUUGAGUGACCUGAGACGGUUCUCGCCAGGGGCAGUGCUGGCUCUGGGGCCACACUAUGGGAGGGGAACGCAAGGUGCAUGGGCAGCUGUGAGCCCAGGCUAGGCCUGGCCUCCCUCGGCUAAUCAGCUGGCAGCCACAGGUAGCCAUCUCCCUAGUAGGCCUGGGCCUGGGAGUUCCCUCUGCAAGGUAUGAGGCAGCCUUUAGGCCUGGCAGCCCUGAGCAACCUCUUGUGCCAGGAGGGUGUUCACCCUUGGGCCCAGCUCCUCCAAUCCUGGCCUCGCCCUGGGCACACUGUCCCAGGCUGCGUCCCAUUGACCCAGCCAGGCUGAACAGGCCUCAGUGAGCUGGGAGUGAAGGGGGCGCCAGAUGGCCCAGGCCCUAUCCAAUCUCAUGGGACCCCUCGGACACGGCCCUGAGCAAGCGGGCGGUCCAGCUCCCAGGUUUUCCACACCAUCGUGGGGGCGCCUGAGCACAGGGACCCUCGGCCUGACGUUCAAGCAGCAAGUAGUAGAGUUAGUAAGAAGGUGCCAUGCCCGGGCAGAGCCGGGGACAGAGCCGAGCAUCUAGGAGGGCAGGGCAGGGCAUGCAGGAGACUCCAGCUGCCUGGCGGGGUGGUGCACCCAGCUGGGGGCACUGCUGGUCCGCCCACACCGUAGAUAUCUCCCUGGGAACCAGAGCUCGGGGGCCACCAAGGCUCCCUUGAGGGCAGGGACAGAGAGGCUCAGCCCAGCAGCCCCCAGCCAGGCAUCUCCAGCCAGGGAGAGGGGAGAGAGGUCAUGCCAAAUACCAGGUCCCUUCAUGCCACCACCCCUUGGCUCCAGCCAGAGCCUGGGCCAGGAGGCCAGCGGGGAGCGGGGACACCUACCGUGGCUUUGGCUUCUGCAGCCUUGGCCUUCUUCAGCCUCGCUUUGCAGGCAUCCAAGUCCAGACGCCGGUUUUGGAGGAGCCGCCUCUCCUUCUACAGGGCAGGGCAUGGGGACAGUGAGACCCUGGGCUGCCCUGGGAGACCCUGAGCCAUGCAUGGCAAGAUUGGUGCCGGGGACGAUCAAGUCAAGAUAGGGAAACUGAGGCCCAGAGAUAGGAGGUCACUCAGUCCAAAGGAGCCCUCUCUGGGGAGGCCUCAGGAGUUUUGUAGCCCCAGCACUGGAAGAGAGCCUGUACUCAAAGGCUCUGAGGAGGGAACUGCCAUGGUUACCAGGAAGCGGAAUAGUCCCAGGGCCCUCACCGAGAUGGUCUUCCAGUCCCCCUCCAGGAAGUUGCGCAAGGGUGUGAGGAAGCUGAUGGAGGCCGUGUGGAUAAAAUCCCUCUCCGCGGCUCCCAGUUGCUUUUCAGCUUCUGCCACCUUGAUCAGUGUCUUCCCUGAGAAAACAGAGUUGAAGCGUGAGGAAGAAGGUCAGGCUCAGGCUACUCUGAUCUACAGGAGAGGGCUCAGGAAGAGCUUGCUGAAGAGCAAGGGCCGGGGUGCUCAGUGCAGAAUGCUUUGCCUGGGAAAAAGCAGAAGCAACCUACACUACACCAUCAACUGGGAACUAACAAAUAAACAAUGGGACAGCCAAAAUAUGGAACACAAUGCAGCCAUUAUAAAGAUCGGGGUUAGACUUCCAGAAUGUCAGAGAAAGGAGCUCAACAAAUCCCCUCCCAAAAAAAGUAACAAUAAAACUGGACACCACGCCAGGUGCGGUGGCUCACACCUAUAAUCCUAGCACUCUGGGAGGCCGAGACGGGAGGAUCACUUGAGCUCGGCAGUUCCAGACCACCCUGGGCAACAUAGGGAGACCUUAUCUCUUUGAAAAUAAAACAAAUUGAAAGAAAACUGGACACAAUUGUCAAAAACAUCCAUUUCUGGACUCUGCAAAUUGACCAAGGCAAAAAACAAAUUGAAAAGCAUUUAAUCAAGAAAAACUACUGGGCUGGAUGCUGUGGCUCACACCUGUAAUCUCAGCACUUUGGAAAACCAAGGUGGGCAGACUGCUUGAACCCAGCUGUUCAAGACCAGCCCGGGCAACAUGGCAAAACCUUGUCUUUAUAAAAAAUAAAUAGAAAAUCAUAAGAAAAAUGAGCAGCGCCUCAGCACCUACGGGGCACUGUCAAGUGAACCAACAUAUGACUAACAAGAGUCCCAGAAGAGGAGGAGAAAAUAAGGCAGAAAAAAUAUGUGAAGAAACAAUAAGAGGCUGGGCGCGCUGGCUCACACCUGUAAUCCCAAUACUCUGGGAGGCCCAGGCGGAAGGAUCAUUUGAACCCAGGAGUUUGAGGCUAUAGUAGUAAGCUAUGAUUGCACCACUGCACUCCAGUCUGGGUGACACAGCAAGAUCCUGUCUUUAAAAAAAAGAAAAGAAAAGAAAAAACAUGGUUUGAUUCAUCACAUACAAGAGAGCUAAAAUAAGAUGAAUUGUCUUCUCAUUAGAAACAAUAGAAGCCAGACAGCAGUAAGAUAAUAUAUUCAAAGUAAAGAAAAAAUUGUUCAUCCAGGAAUUCUAUAUAUAGCAAAACAAUCCUUCAAAAGUGAAGGCAAGGCCGGGCGCAGUGGCUCACGCCUGUAAUUCUAGCACUUUGGGAGGCUAAAGUGGGUGGGUCACUUGAGGUCAGGAGUUCGAGACCAACCUGGACAACAUGGCAAAACCUCGUCUCUACUAAAAAUACAAAAAUUAGCUGGGUGUGGUGGUGUGCAUCUGUAAUUCCAGCUACUUGGGAGACUGAGGCAGGAGAAUUGCUUGAACCCAGGAGGCAGAGGUUGCAGUGAGCCAACGUCACACCACUGUACUCCAGCCUGGGCAACAAGAGCAAGACUGUCUUUAAAAAAAAAAAAAAAAAAAAAAAAAAAAAAAGAUACGGCCGGGUGCGGUGGCUCACACCUGUAAUCCCAGCACUUUGGAAGGCUGAGGCAGGCGGAUCAUGAGGUCAGGAGUUCAAGACCAGCCUAACCAACUUGGUGAAACCUGUCUCUACUAAAAAUACAAAAAUUAGCCAGGCGUGGUGGCAAGCACCUGUAAUCCCAGCUACUCAGGAGGCUGAGGUAGGAUAAUCGCUUGAAACCGGGAGGUGGAGGUCGCAGUGAACCAAGAUCGCACCACUGCACUCCCGCCUGGGUGACAGAAAAAAAAAAAAAUCCAAAGAUACACUUUAAAUUUAAAGACAUGAAUGGGCUGAAAAAAGUACACCAUGUAUGCAGUAACCACGAGAGAGUUAACGUGGCUAUACUACUACCAGACAAAAUAGACUUUAACACAAAAUAGUACUAGAGACAAAGAAUAGUAUUUUAUAAUGAAAGAGUCAAUUCAUCAGGAAGAUGCACAAAUAUAAACAUACAGACCUAAGACAGUUCCAAAAUACAUAAGGCAAACACUGACAAAGAGAGAAAUAAGAUAAUUCAACAGUAAUAGUUGGAAACUUGAAUACUCUGCUCUUUUUUUUUUUUUUUUUUUUUGGUCUCACUCUGUCUCCCAGGCUGGAGUGCAGUGGCGCGCUCUUGGCUCGCUGCAACCUACGCCUCCCGGGUUCCAGCAAUUCUCCUGCCUCAGCCUCCCAAGUAGCUGGGACUAUAGGCGCGCACCAGCAUGCCCAGCUAAUUUUUUUGUAUUUUUAGUAGAGACAGGAUUUCACCAUGUUGGCCAGGCUGGUCUUGAACUCCUGACCUCAGGUGAUCCAACCACUUUGACCUCCCAAAGUGGCGGGAUUACAGGUGUGAGCCACCAUGCCCAGCCUCAAUAGUCUACUCUUGAUAAUGAAUAGGACAAGACAAAAUCAGCAAGGACAUACAAGCCUUGAACACUAUUAACCGAUGUGGCCUCGCUGACACCUAUACAGCACUGCACCCUCAACAGCAUAAUAUCACAUCUUCUCAAGUGAACCUAGGACAUUCCCCAGAUAGACCAUAUACUAGGUCAUGAAACAAGUCUCAAUAAAUUUAAAAGGAUUAAAACAAUAAAAAUAUGAGGCUGGGUGUGCUGGCUCAUGCCUGUAAUCCCAGCACUUUGGGAGGCUAAGGCAGGCGGAUCACUUGAGAUCAGGAGUUUGAGACCAGCCUGGCCAACAUGGUGAGACCCCCAUCUCUAUUAAAAAUACAAAAAAUACGCCGGGUGUGAUGGCUCACACCUGUAAUCCCAGCACUCUGGGAGGCCAAGGUGGGUGGAUCACGAGGUCAGGAGAUCGACUAUCCUGGCUAACACGGUGAAAUCCCGUCUCCACUGAAAAAAAAAAAAAUUAGCCUGGCAUGGUGGCAGGUGCCUGUAGUCCCAGCUACUUGGGAGGCUGAGGCAGGAGAAUGGCAUGAACACGAGAGGCGGAGGUUGCAGUGAGCCGAGAUCGUGCCACUGCACUCCAGCCUGGGCGACAGAGCGAGAUUCCGUCUCAAACAAAAAAAAAAAAAAAAAAAAUUAGCUGGGUGUGAUUAUAGGUGCGUGAUGGUGCGUGCCUGUAAUCUCAGCUACUCAGAAGGCUGAGAGGCUGAGGUGGAGGAUCCCUUGAACCUGGGAAGUGGAGCUUGCAGUGAGCCCAGAUGGCACCAUUGCACUCCAGCCUGGGCGACAGAGCGAGACUCCAUCUCAAAAUAAUAAUAAUACUAACAUAGCACGACAUGUUCAUACAUUCUCUGAUCGCAGUGGAAUUAAGUUAAAAGCAACAAUAGAAGAAAACCCAGAAAAUCCACAAAUAUCUGAAAAUGAAACAACACACUACUGACAGGAAUAAAAAAAUCAUACAGCUACUUUGGAAAACAGUUUGGCAACUUCUUAAAAAGUUAAAUUAAAUUGGCUGGGCGCAGUGGCUCACGCCUGUAAUCCCAGCACUUUGGGAGGCCAAGGCGGGCGGAUCACAAGGUCAGGAGUUCAAGACCAGCCUGGCCAACAUGGUGAGACCCCGUCUCUACUAAAAACACAAAAAAUUAGCUGGGCAUGGUGGCGGGUGCCUGUAAUCCCAGCGACUUGGAAGGCUGAGGCAAGAGAAUUGCUUGAACCCAGGAGGCGGAGGUUGCAGUGAGCCAAGAUUGCGCCACU
rnacentral:lncRNA from 1 species